UACAACAAAAACACACACAGGCACGCAGAAACACACACACAAAGGUACGCACCACAGUGCAUUAAAAAAGGUUUCUGGUGUCAUUGCAGGCUUUUGGAUGAAUAUGAUAGGAUCACAGCAAGGAAUAGUGACAUUUGUCUGAAUGCCAGUGGUAUUGUUGAUUGACAGUCCACAAUAGAUGUAUUGAUCAAAUAAAGUGAUGGGUAGGAUACAAUAUAAGGACAGCAUGACAGUAUGCAUGGUAAGAUAAAAAUGGAUUCAUGCAAGGAAGUAGUGUAAUUGUUUUUGUUUAUAAAACAUGUUUUGAUUAGAAUAGAACAAAAUAUUUGAACAGAAAAGGCUAAAUAUAGAUGAAAUGGUUCUUACACCACGUGUCACAAAUACAGAUGAGCGUGUGGCAGACACUGGAACGCUCUCCCUGACACAUACACUCCUACCUUGUUCCCCUCAAAGGGCUCUUCCUUAAGCAGUAAGUGUGAAAAGACAGAAAUAUGAGUGAGUAUCUAUGAGUUCAUUACAAGAAAUAAACAUCCGCAGGGGCUUUCUGGGAAAACCCCACUUUAUUGUAUCAUUCCACUGGCAUACCAACAGAAAAUUACUAUACAGCACUUUGUGGAGGUAAACUGGUCUUUAUUAUAUAAUUUGCAAGGAAUUCAAACAGUUUGAGUGAUAUGACUGCAAUGCUCAUGAACUCUGAUAACCCUAAUCCAGAGUUCUGUCACUCUGACAACACUCUCUCCCCCUCCUCGUUCUGCUGAGCAUCCUGGGUGGUGUUGCUGGCAGAGACAGCUCUGCUUCUGGUGGGACCGAGUGGCAGCCAGGGGAGACUGCCAAGGAGGGGGGAAGGGGGAUAAAGGAGGCCUGUGAUCAUGCAUAGGCAACUGUAGGGGAGGCGCUUACCAUGUAGAUGCCCCCAAACAGAGCAGCCAUGAAUUUGCUCAGGAGGGCUGCACACAAGCUGGCUACAUGGACAAAGGGGCCCUGAGGAACACAGAGAGAUGGAUCCACAUGUGGCUGGGAAGCUGGGAGGAAACACUGAAUAAUCUGUGGCCUUUCCUAUGCUGUGUACUGCAAAGGGGUUUUACACUGCAAUUUGAGGAGGAAAACCCUGCGGGGCCAGGAUCUGUGUGAAUCCUGCUGAGAAUGUGAUGAGCACCACAGGAUUGUUCCCACUCUCUCCUACCUUGCUGGCAGAAAGCUAUGGCAUAGUCCAUGACCCAGCUGACCAGAGCCAUGAGCAGACCCAGGAGGAUGAGGAAGAUCCAGUCCUCACCGACACGAGAGAUCAGGAACUUCUGACAGCGCGAUGUACACACUGGAGAGCGGAAACAAGAGAUGGAAGAACAAACAAGCUUCUGAUGCAUAUAUAAUAGAAUGUCUGCUUCUAUUGCAAAGUAAAUCAUACAUUAGUAACAGACAUGUAGAAACAAAGAAAUUGUUAAAAUUCAGUCAGAGGUGAUAGUCAGUCCUAGAUGUGUCUCCAGUUGUCUGAAUAUUUCAAGAGAAGAAAGGAGGAUUCAUGUGGGGCACUAGAUGGAGGGAGAAACAGGGCUAGUCUAAAAGAAGCAACACUGGACUCAAUUGGUUUUCUCUGUUCUGUGGACACUGCUCUUGAAAUCCAUUGCUACCAUAUUCAGAAGCUCCCUAAGGAAAAUGCUGAGUUUCUCCAAAGGGAAGGCGAAAGUGGGCUACUGACCCAAGUAAUGGAUCUAUAUUUUUUAUAAAUGUCCCACCGCUGGCAUAAGAGAAAGACAAGAUUUUGUUUAUGAUCUGAUCCUUCUUAACCCUUGUGCUGCCUUCGGGUCACAUGACCCAAAGGUUCAUAACGAACCAUCGUUGUGUUUGCCCAAUUUUACCCAAUACAAAAACAAAUAAAAAUAAUUUUCUUUUAACCAUCGCAAUGUGGGGGGUCUGAGACAGCCCAACGGUUAAAAGAAAAUGAUUCACUUUGUUUUGGUAUGCGGUAAAGUUGUCGCAAUACGACGGUGGGUCACAAUGACUGAUGGGUCAGAAUGACCCGAAGAUAACACAAGGGUUAAGUCAUACAAUGUGAUCUGGGAGGUAUUCCAAAAAGCUGGUUUCACAAACUGUGAGCCUACCCUUACAAAAAAGUAUAUUAAAGUAUACUAUAAGUGUACUAAAAAAUGGAUAGUACACUUUUAGUUCACUUUUGAUAUACUCUUAAGAAGUAUACUUAGAAAAUAGUUCACUUUUGAUAUAAUUUUAAGUAUACUUUGAAAAUAGUUCACUUUUGAUAUACUUUUAAGAAGUAUGCUUAGAAACUGAAAAUGGUAUACAUUUCUUCUGGAGUAGGAUGUACGUUUUCUAUUAUUAUACAGCAAAAACUGUCAAAAUACUUUUAAAGUACAUUACAGGACAUUUUUAGAUCCAUCUUGUAUAUUCUAAUUAUUCAUGUCUAGGAAAAUCUAUUAUGCAUUGCACAUUGAAUCUUUUUUGGUACUGAAACUGUAACCUUAAUUACUGCCAAAACAUUUUAAAGCCCUAUACUACUUAUAUUAAUAACUAGAGAGGGCACAAUUGUAGGGUGUGCUUGCUUGCAUCGGUUGCAGAUGGGUCCGUUUAUUGGGUGUGCUCACGCCUUCGGCGAGCACAACCAUUGUUCUCUCACAUAUAUAUUUAUUAUUUGUGAGAAUGCUGUUUCAGCAUUGUUGGAAUGCUGCUUCAGCAUUCCAAGUAUUAUUCUUCGAAUCUUUAUUCAACUUAUUGUUGGAAUGCUGCUUCAGCAUUCCAAGUAUUGUUCUUUGAAUCUUUAUUGUUGGAAUGCUGCUUCAGCAUUC